AACGAACGCUGGCGGCAGGCCUAACACAUGCAAGUCGAACGCCGUAGCAAUACGGAGUGGCAGACGGGUGAGUAACGCGUGGGAACAUACCCCUCGGUUCGGAAUAACUUAGGGAAACUUGAGCUAAUACCGGAUACGUCCGAGGUUUUAACCGGUCCUCGGAGAAAGAUUUAUCGCCGGAGGAUUGGCCCGCGUCUGAUUAGCUUGUUGGUGAGGUAAUGGCUCACCAAGGCGACGAUCAGUAGCNGGUCUGAGAGGAUGAUCAGCCACAUUGGGACUGAGACACGGCCCAAACUCCUACGGGAGGCAGCAGUGGGGAAUCUUGCGCAAUGGGCGAAAGCCUGACGCAGCGACGCCGCGUGAGGGAUGACGGCCUU
rnacentral:rRNA from 1 species